rnacentral:piRNA from 1 species
UCAGAAUGGAUCCUUCCAGCACACAUGGCCC